rnacentral:rRNA from 1 species
GACGAACGCUGGCGGCGUGCCUAAUACAUGCAAGUCGAACGCUUCUUUCCUCCCGAGUGCUUGCACUCAAUUGGAAAGAGGAGUGGCGGACGGGUGAGUAACACGUGGGUAACCUACCCAUCAGAGGGGGAUAACACUUGGAAACAGGUGCUAAUACCGCAUAACAGUUUAUGCCGCAUGGCAUAAGAGUGAAAGGCGCUUUCGGGUGUCGUUGAUGGAUGGACCCGCGGUGCAUUAGCUAGUUGGUGAGGUAACGGCUCACCAAGGCCACGAUGCAUAGCCGACCUGAGAGGGUGAUCGGCCACACUGGGACUGAGACACGGCCCAGACUCCUACGGGAGGCAGCAGUAGGGAAUCUUCGGCAAUGGACGAAAGUCUGACCGAGCAACGCCGCGUGAGUGAAGAAGGUUUUCGGAUCGUAAAACUCUGUUGUUAGGGAAGAACAAGGACGUUAGUAACUGAACGUCCCCUGACGGUAUCUAACCAGAAAGCCACGGCUAACUACGUG